rnacentral:rRNA from 1 species
CCUACGGGUGGCAGCAGUGGGGAAUAUUGGGCAAUGGAGGAAACUCUGACCCAGCAACGCCGCGUGAAUGAUGAAGGUCUUCGGAUUGUAAAGUUCUUUUAUCAGGGAAGAAGAAAGUGACGGUACCUUAGGAAUAAGCCUCGGCUAACUACGUGCCAGCAGCCGCGGUAAUACGUAGGAGGCGAGCGAUAACCGGAAUGACUGGGCGCAAAGGGCGCGUAGGUGGUUUGGCAAGUUAGUAGAGUAACUCCCAGGCGCAACCUUGGAACUACUACUAAAACUGUUGGGCUUGAGUGCAGGGGGGGCAACCGGAAUUCCUGGUGUAGCGGUGGAAUGCGUAGAUAUCAGGAGGAACACCAGUGGCGAAGGCGGGUUGCUAGACUGUAACUGACACUGAGGUACGAAAGCGUGGGGAGCAAACAGGAUUAGAUACCCGAGUAGUC